CCCCUCCCAGGAUUACAUCUGGAGAGUUUCCAGGACUCUACCAGUCUCGGCUACAGGAGGGAGAGUCAAGCAGAAGUAUCCCCAUUCCAUUCCUAGCUUGAGCUGUGGCUAGAGAGUAUAAGGCAAUCUGCUACAAAU